rnacentral:rRNA from 1 species
UACGUAGGGGGCGAGCGUUGUCCGGAUUUACUGGGCGUGAAGGGUGAGUAGGCGGUAGUAUGUGUCAGAUGUAAAAGGCGUAGGCUUAACUUACGUUAGCAUUUGAAACUGUAUUACUUGAGUGCAGGAGAGGUAAGCGGAAUUCCUAGUGUAGCGGUGAAAUGCGUAGAUAUUAGGAGGAACACCAGUGGCGAAGGCGGCUUACUGGACUGUAACUGACGCUGAGUCACGAAAGCGUGGGUAGCAAACA